rnacentral:rRNA from 1 species
CGACCGCGACCCCAGGUCAGACGGGAUUACCCGCUGAGUUUAAGCAUAUCAAUAAGCGGUGGAGAAGAAA